rnacentral:lncRNA from 1 species
GGAGGCUGCUGGCACAUUCCCUGCAUAGCAUUUAUGGAUUGCCUGCGUGAAUAAUCCUCAACUCCAAUGAGCAUGGUGAAUAUGAGCAGAAGGAACUAGGUGUAUGUUUAAGGAUAGCCUCAUAGAAUUCUAGAGAUGAAAGCUGAAGAAAUUUUCCUGAAAAGGAUUGGGAGCCAGAAUCCAGACCUUGGGAAAUGUGAAUGUUCCAACAUGGCCGACCAUCAUGGAAUGAGAUCAGCAGAUCGGAAUAGCAGCCUUCAUCUUCUUCAUCUUGGUCCUGAGGCUCCAUCGGCCAGGUUUCCAGCACACGUUAAGCCCAGAUAUAACAACCACACAACCCAGGUUUUCCAGUCUUCAUUUCAAAAGUGUCCCUUUGUCUCUGUCUAUAUCUGGUUGGUCAGCUGUCUUGAUAGUUGGAUUGAGAUCCAAAGUUACUAUAAAACUAGGGAACCUGGUUUAAUAUCUUCAUUACCCGAAUUCUUGG